rnacentral:rRNA from 1 species
UGGGGAAUAUUGGACAAUGGGGGCAACCCUGAUCCAGCCAUGCCGCGUGUGUGAAGAAGGCCUUUUGGUUGUAAAGCACUUUAAGCAGGGAGGAGAGGCUAAUGGUUAAUACCCAUUAGAUUAGACGUUACCUGCAGAAUAAGCACCGGCUAACUCUGUGCCAGCAGCCGCGGUAAUACAGAGGGUGCGAGCGUUAAUCGGAAUUACUGGGCGUAAAGCGAGUGUAGGUGGCUCAUUAAGUCACAUGUGAAAUCCCCGGGCUUAACCUGGGAACUGCAUGUGAUACUGGUGGUGCUAGAAUAUGUGAGAGGGAAGUAGAAUUCCCAGGUGUAGCGGUGAAAUGCGUAGAGAUCUGGAGGAAUACCGAUGGCGAAGGCAGCUUCCUGGCAUAAUAUUGACACUGAGAUUCGAAAGCGUGGGUAGCAAAACAGGAUUAGAUACCCUGGUAGUCCACGCCGUAAAACGAUGUCUACUAGCCGUUGGGGUCCUUGAGACUUUAGUGGCGCAGUUAACGCGAUAAGUAGACCGCCUGGGGAGUACGGCCGCAAGG